GACAGAGGGUGCAAACGUUGUUCGGAUUUACUGGGCGUAAAGCGCGUGUAGGCGGCUUCGUAAGUUGGAUGUGAAAUCCCACGGCUCAACCGUGGACGUGCAUCCAAAACUACGUCGCUGGAGUCUCGGAGAGGAAGGUGGAAUGCUUGGUGUAGAGGUGAAAUUCGUAGAUAUCAAGCAGAACACCUGCGGCGAAGGCGGCCUUCUGGACGAUGACUGACGCUGAGACGCGAAAGCGUGGGGAGCAAACAGG
rnacentral:rRNA from 1 species